UCGUCAGUGAGGUAUAUCCUUACCUGUUACUUCAGAAAUGAAGUAUCAGAAAAUGAUGAAUGGAGUUAUAUGAGCUGCUGAUUAUUGGCUCUAGUUUAUAGGGGAACAGCAACACCCCUAUAAACCCAUUCUGAU